rnacentral:rRNA from 1 species
AGAGCUUGAUCAUGGCUCAGAUUGAACGCUGGCGGCAGGCCUAACACAUGCAAGUCGAGCGGUAGCACAGGAGAGCUUGCUCUCUGGGUGACGAGCGGCGGACGGGUGAGUAAUGUCUGGGAAACUGCCUGAUGGAGGGGGAUAACUACUGGAAACGGUAGCUAAUACCGCAUGACCUCGCAAGAGCAAAGUGGGGGACCUUCGGGCCUCACGCCAUCGGAUGUGCCCAGAUGGGAUUAGCUAGUAGGUGGGGUAAUGGCUCACCUAGGCGACGAUCCCUAGCUGGUCUGAGAGGAUGACCAGCCACACUGGAACUGAGACACGGUCCAGACUCCUACGGGAGGCAGCAGUGGGGAAUAUUGCACAAUGGGCGCAAGCCUGAUGCAGCCAUGCCGCGUGUGUGAAGAAGGCCUUAGGGUUGUAAAGCACUUUCAGCGAGGAGGAAGGGUUCAGUGUUAAUAGCACUGAGCAUUGACGUACUCGCAG